GGCUCGGUGGUGUAGCGGUUAACACACCUGAGAAUAUUUCCAGUAGUUUCUCUCUGAUAUUCGUCAGGGGUCCCCCGUUCGACUCGGGGCCGUGCCU